CACACACACACGCACGCACGCACGCGCGCGCGGCGCGCACACACACACACACACACACACACACACACACACACACACACACACACACACACACACACACACACACACACACACACACACACACACACACACACAGACACACACACACACACACGCACGCACGCGCGCGCACACACACACACACACGCACACUAAUCACAAUAACACAGAGAUUAAAAGUGAACUGAGGAUAAAAAUAAAUCGCUAUUUUGUUAAGUUAUUUUUAAAAGUCGUUAAUAAAAGCUAAUUCUCUGCAAUUACGGAACUUUGUGUGCUGUUCUACUUAUAUUCGUUUUUGUUCUGAUCUCAUGUUGUUUCUUUUUUGCUCAAUGUUGAUUGAAGAUAACAAUAGAAGGAGCUGGAAGGCUUGUCUUGACGCUGUCGACUGGUGUGUGUGUGUGUGUGUUUGUGUGUCUCUCCAGGACUUCGCAGUAGUUACUCCUGCAGUGUCUGCAGUGUGGUCCUCAACUCCAUAGAGCAGUACCACGCACACCUUCAAGGCUCCAAGCAUCAAAACAACCUGAAGCAGCACCAACAGUGAGCCAUGAGGACACGUCGCUCUGUGAGAGUACGGGAGCAGAGAGUGAAGAGAAAAUGAGGAAUAUACUUAUUUAUUUAUUUAUUUACUGAUUUAUUUAGUAUUUGUGUGUUUGUUUCUUAAUACUUGUGUCACAACCAUUUGGGUGUAAGGGACUACUGCUUGAAGUUAUUUGUGUGUGUGUGUGUGUGUGUGUGUGUGUGUGAAUAUUUGCGGUCUGCGUGUGUGUGUAUGUGCGUGUGUGUAUGUGCGUGUGCGUGCCCAAGCACUAUGUGUGCGUCAUAUUCGUGCAGUUCGUCAACACUACAGACUUGGAGUAGGGGGGCAAAAAAAGAACUAAUAGAUGUAAUUUGGGUAAAUGAGCUAUCAUUAACUAAGCCAGUUAAUUGUGCCAUGACAGUAGUGCAGAGUGACACAGAGCUCUGGUCGCCGCUUCUAUUCCCUUCCCAAUAAUAGACUAUCAUCAGGCCCUCCUACCCUCCCUCUCAACCCUUCUGUGCCUCGUCUCUCCAGACCACGUAUCCACCUCACCAAGCCUACCCGACCAUACCUCCUCCCCUCCCUGCCCUCACCGGCCUCUCCUGCUCCCUCAGCUUCCUGACACAACAGCAUAGCCGCUGCUGCCUGUAGUCGACACUAAAUUAAGAUAUUUUCAGGGUCAGGACGCUACCUGUUCACGACAUGAGGUAAACAAAACCAAAAAAAGGUUGUUUGACUUUCAAGGAGGUAAGAACUCAAACCUUGAGUUCUGAAUCAACCGAAACAAUGGCAGGAGGGCCGACUGCAAUAUAUGAUGCAAUGUAAUGCAACCGUAUUGUGGACGUGUUUGUGUGUUGUGUGUAUGUGUAUGUGUGGUGUUUGUGUGCGUGGGUGUGUGUAUGUGUGCAUAUAUCUUCAUUACUUUCAGUUCUGAAAUCUAUCUCUGAGGGACUUUUACUUCAGCACCUGAAGGGGUUGACAUGUUUUCUAAGCCGGCAGCUGCCCCCAUAGCACAGCACAGCUGCGGUGAUCGCCAUAUGAUCCCCGUGUUCCUAACUAACACAACAACUGAUGUCAAUACGUCGUCCAUAGGGGUGACUGCCAUUACGUAACCCUUUCUUCUUGUCGGAGCAGCAGUGAUAAUAACUGCAGACUGGCAGGUCAUCGCGACAGCACGACCGUUGUCGGUCAGAUUGUGAUCGACACUCAUUAAAACAAGUCAAGUCAUUUGGUUCUAUAUGUAGUGACAGUUUGGACACAGGAAAUAGCUAGCAACAAGGCCUUUUCAGAUAGAACUCACUCAGGCCACAAAUCCUUGGUCCCGAAACACCACGGAAAGCUAUGAAUAUAUCAACUAAUAUUGAUGCGAAAGAAUAGGUAUUUAUUUAUUUAAUAAUAGAGAAGAUGGCCCAAGUCGACUUUCACUUGAAUAGGCUGCCAUGCAGCUUGAGCAAGUCAUUUACUUACUUUACUACGAUUUAAGAUAAAUAUGGUCAAUUUUUUGCUCAAUUCAAAUUCAGAUUUUCUACAACAUAAAGGGUGAUGCUACACUCGUUUACCUAACGUAUUGAGUAACAGUGAACAAACACAGCUUCUGUUUCUUUGUGUGUGUGCGAGUGUGUUCCUGGGUGUGUCUGUGUGUCUUUGUGUGUGUGUCUGUGUGUGUAUUUUAUACUUGUCUUUUCUACUGCCCAGUUCGAGGGGGAGUCUGGGGUCAAAAAAGUAACGCCUUGUACAGUAUGGAUCUACUGAUGUCACAGACACAGAACCUGAGAUGUCAACACAUUAUCUCUGCUCAGUGAUGGAGGUCAUAUUAAUAAAGACAAACUCCUUUGUAAACGUUUGUAUGCCAUCAUGUCCAGACCAAGAAAAAAACAAACAUGACGACGAAACAACAGACAAAAAAAUACUUUUUCUUCUUCUUCAUCUUCACCAACCAAUACCUGUAGCAAAUGGCUCUAAAUGCAACUGGGUGAAAUUCAGUGCAUGCACAGCAAUGGUGAGCCGAGCCUAUCCUUUUGCCUUCUUUUUACAUCGUGAUAGUGCAUCGGAAACCUCCGCCGCACGACCGCAUUGUUCUCCCACUGGUGAUGUAGCUUCAGAAUGACGUACCACACCCGCAAGAAGCUAGAUAGACAAAGUCACCCUCUACUGCCUGGUUAGCGCCAGUUCAUUUGUACUAGUACAUCACUGGUGCGUUACUAGUGCUGGAGAGAAGAAAGAAAACAACAGGCCUAAAGACUGGCCGAAUGUUCGGGCGGUCGGUUAAAAAAAGACAACAAUGGCCUGUUUUGGUUUUUGAUGCUUCUUCAAGUGUUUCUUACGAUGUCUUUAAGCAUGUUAUGUUUUUUGGGAUUGUAUUGGGUGCAACUUGUGGGGAAAACCAAAAAAAGUACAUAGAGAUCAGUACAACCGCACACACACACACACACACACACACACACACACACACACACUUGCGUGCAGGCACUCACAAACACACACACACACACAAACAUGCACACAAUCAACUCUAACUUUUUAGUAAAGGUAAAAUAUGAUGAACAGAUGAAAAUAAGUUCAUUCUGUGCUGAUUUCAUGUUUUGAAGUGGGAGCUAAGGAUUACUUGAUUAGGAAGAGUGUGGAGUGUGGAAUUUUUUAUGCAAUCAAAAUGUGAUAUGAAGAACCAUGCAAUCGUAGUAAUUUCCUGUAAAUAAGGAGCUGGAAAGUGUGUGCUUAUUUUUAAAGACAUAAAAGAGUUUUGUAUUCACAAUGUGUACCAAGGAAAGAUGAGGGUAAAAUUAUGUUUUUGGUGCACCUGGAGAAUACAAAUAAUAACUGAAAUAUUUAAAUAACGAUGAUGAUGGUGAGCAAAACACAGCAUGAGGUGUUCUUUAACCUUUUGUGCUCCCAAAGGGAGGAACGCCAAAGGGAAGAACGCCUGGAGCACAGAUGGCACUUGGAUUAUAACGAUUAUAUAAAAAAAAAACAGAGCUGUGGAAAGCUAAGGAGAUGGACAGAUGGAUAUAAGAUGGAUGAACAUCUUACUAUGUGGCUGGGUAAAAAUAUUGACGAAACUAGGACUGUUCAACAGAAAAAACCUUCAUUAUCGUUUCAUUCUGUCUCCUUCCCCAUGUGUCAAGCGGGCUAGAGACUGAUCAAAGUGUGGGCAUCAUGACAUUGAACUUUUGGUUGUGAUGUGAUUCAGGAUCUGUUCAUCCAAUCAGAGUGCACAGAACAACUGGUUUGAACAUUUCUAGUUGUUGCUUUUAUGUGCUGCUUUCAUUACUGUCGAAUCAAGACUUCUGUGUGUCUCCAGUGCUCACACACAGUAGCAGUGGUGUGUGUGUCACAAUCUAUGAAGAGAGCAAUUAUGUUUGAAACAGAAAACUAUUGCUAUUACAACAACACUACCAGAUGGGCGUGUGUGUGUGUGUGCAUCAAGAGUACGAGAGUGUCCUGUUUAAGCGCUUACACCAUGCACACAUUUGUAAACGCACAUACAUGUGAUGAUAGACAUUGAUAAAGAUGAUGAGAUCUAUUUUCUCUUGAAA